rnacentral:rRNA from 1 species
GACGAACGCUGGCGGCGUGCCUAAUACAUGCAAGUUGAGCGAUGAAGAUUGGUGCUUGCACCAAUUUGAAGAGCAGCGCACGGGUGAGUAACGCGUGGGGAAUCUGCCUUUGAGCGGGGGACAACAUUUGGAAACGAAUGCUAAUACCGCAUAAUAACUUUAAACAUAAGUUUUAAGUUUGAAAGAUGCAAUUGCAUCACUCAAAGAUGAUCCCGCGUUGUAUUAGCUAGUUGGUGAGGUAAAGGCUCACCAAGGCGAUGAUACAUAGCCGACCUGAGAGGGUGAUCGGCCACAUUGGGACUGAGACACGGCCCAAACUCCUACGGGAGGCAGCAGUAGGGAAUCUUCGGCAAUGGACGAAAGUCUGACCGAGCAACGCCGCGUGAGGGAAGAAGGGUUUCGGAUCGUAAAACUCUGUUGGUAGAGAAGAACGUUGGUGAGAGUGGAAAGCUCAUCAAGUGACGGUAACUACCCAGAAAGGGACGGCUAACUACGUG